rnacentral:tRNA from 1 species
AGGCGGAUAGCUCAGUCGGUAGAGCACAGCUCUUACACAGCUGUUGUCGCGGGUUCGAUCCCCGCUCCGCCUA